AACGAACGCUGGCGGCAGGCUUAACACAUGCAAGUCGAACGCCCCGCAAGGGGAGUGGCAGACGGGUGAGUAACGCGUGGGAAUCUACCGUACCCUACGGAACAACAGUUGGAAACGACUGCUAAUACCGUAUACGCCCUACGGGGGAAAGAUUUAUCGGGGUAUGAUGAGCCCGCGUUGGAUUAGCUAGUUGGUGGGGUAAAGGCCUACCAAGGCGACGAUCCAUAGCUGGUCUGAGAGGAUGAUCAGCCACAUUGGGACUGAGACACGGCCCAAACUCCUACGGGAGGCAGCAGUGGGGAAUAUUGGACAAUGGGCGCAAGCCUGAUCCAGCCAUGCCGCGUGAGUGAUGAAGGUCUUAGGAUUGUAAAGCUCUUUCACCGAUGAAGAUAAUGACGGUAGUCGGAGAAGAAGCCCCGGCUAACUUCGUGCCAGCAGCCGCGGUAAAAC
rnacentral:rRNA from 1 species